UCUCCAGAUGUGAAUUAUGGAGGAAAAGUUGACCUCAUCAGAGGCACGCCAUUCGACUGAGUGACCUAUCAGCUUGUACUUAGGGUCUUUUCAUAGGUAGGCUAUCACGGGUAACGGGCGGUUACCGUCGGACUGCCGGAGAAGGCGCCUGAGAGAUAGCGACUAUAUCCACGGGUAGCAGCAGGCGCGAAACUUUCCCACUCGAGACUUUCGGAGGAGGUAAUGACCAGUUCCAUUGGUGCCUUUUGGUACUGUGGAUAGGGGUACGGUUUUCCACCGUACCGAAACCUAGCAGAGGGCCAGUCUGGUGCCAGCAGCUGCGGUAAUUCCAGCUCUGCGAGUUUGCUCCCAUAUUGUUGCAGUUAAAACGCCCGUAGUCUGAAUUGGCCAGCAAUGGUCGUACGUAUUUUUACGUUCACUGUGAACAAAUCAGGACGCUUAGAGUAUGGCCACAUGAAUGACUCAGCGCAGUAUGAAGUCUUUGUUUUCUUCCGAAAACAAGCUCAAUGAGAGCCAUCGGGGGUAGAUCUAUCUCAUGACGAGUGGUGGAAUACUUUGACUCAUGAGAGAGAAGCUGAGGCGAAGGCGUCUACCUAGAGGGUUUCUGUCGAUCAAGGGCGAGAGUAGGAGUAUCCAACAGGAUUAGAGACCCUGGUAGUUCCUACCUUAAACGAUGCCGACAGGAGUUUGUCAUUUGUUAAUGGCAGAAUCUUUGGAGAAAUCAUAGUUCUUGGGCUCUGGGGGAACUACGACCGCAAGGCUGAAACUUGAAGGAAUUGACGGAAGGGCACACCAGGGGUGGAGCCUGUGGCUUAAUUUGAAUCAACACGGGGAAACUUACCAGGACCAGAUGUUUUUUAUGACUGACAGGCUUCGGGUCUUUCAGGAUAUUGUUUUUGGUGGUGCAUGGCCGUUGGUGGUGCGUGGGUUGACCUGUCUAGCGUUGAUUCAGCUAACGAGCGAG
rnacentral:ncRNA from 2 species